UGUACACCCAAUUCUCUCUCACAUGAAGUUUCCCUCCUAAAAGCUCUCUCUCUCUUGGAGACCCCCCUGAAUCCCUGAAGAGCCUGGCGACCGCUGUCUAGGAGCCUCCUGCUCCUUUCUCACAGCGCCUCACGCCUCUCUCUCCUCUCGGUUCGUACGGCGGCGAGAAAACCGAGCGCCUCAACCUCUUCUGUUCGUUCUCAGGCUUUUUAAAGCCUUACACAUAGGUU
rnacentral:lncRNA from 1 species